AUCCCUAUUUAUACUAGUAAAUGGAGACUACAAGUUAGUUCUAGAACACUCCAUCUUCUACACACUUCCUUUUCUACACACUUCUUCAUCCUUCUCCAUUAUUCUCUAGAUAUUUUUUCUUCUUGGGCUUCUUGGUUAUAGAUUAAACUUAGGCUAAUGAGGAAAAACUCAACACAUCUUUCUCUAAGACCAUAGCUUGAAUUUUAUCUGUUUAUCAGCCUUGUUGUGUUCCUCAUCGCUAUCGCCAUGAUUGUUGACUUCCUUUUCUUCGGUUUCUCCUAUUUUUCUCAAUGAAACUCAGGUUUGAUUUUCUACUCCUAGAUAGUGCUUAAAAGUCUAAGAUGUUUCUUGUGGAGUCGCGAAUCACCCCCUAGUGGCAAAAGGAUGUUCAGCUAAUUUAGGCAUUCUAAUCACAGCCGUCGAAAUUACUAGCUCUAUAUAUAACGAGACUUUUGGAUUUUCAUAUGUUUUUCAAUUUUCCAUCUUUAGAUUUUUGGUUUUGUGGAAUAAUGAAUCUAUUAAGCUCAUCCAUCGAGUCCCAACUUGCCACAAUUUAUAACUACUUCAAGUCCUUUGCUGCCUUGAGUGCGUUCUCCUACGCUAAAAGCAAUACCAUUGAGUAAUGUUUAUCAAUCUCGAAAGAUAUUAAUGUGCAUAUUCUCAAAAUGUAAUACAGUGUUAUAAAUACACACAAAUAAAUGUGUUUAAAAAAAAAUACACACAAAUAAGAAAAAACCAAAGUUUAUACAGUGUAUAAAUACACACAAAUAAAUCCACCCAUUUUAAAAAACAAAAAAACCAAAGUUUCUAGCUAGUUUCAUUGCUCGAUGUGAAUGAAAAGUGGGAACCUGCUAGUUUUAUCACUCAACUAAUAGAUAUCCAAAGCUGUUUUGACAAGAGCCACCUACCUUGAUUUAAUAAUAGGUAUUAAAAGAAAGCAAGUCAAACCUUGAUCCACAAGUAAGCUCAGUCAUUUGCUUGCUUGCCUUACUUAAAAAUAUUAUUGAGAUUUUUUAUCACACCAAGGGUAGCAAGAAUCACUACCAUACUGGUUUCUAAGCUAUAAGAUAGACUGUACAAAGACAAAAGAGUCAUAUCUGGUCUCAGACUCUCAGGCAACACACAAACGAGGAUAUAACUAAGAGGAAGCAUGAGUGAAUAGCCUGUAAGAAGAAAUCAAAGCGCUGACCGCAAACGCCCCAAACGCUACAAAAGAAACCGCGAUGGACGUGGUUGCCAUUUGAGUAAACUCAUCUUUGCCCCAAUUAGAUAUCCAAUCAUCAACUCGAGUAGCAGCACAUGAAGAAGCCGACAUCAGAAGAUAUGCAAGAAACUAAAAGCUCAUUAGAAUCAAUAUGCUUAGAUUACAAAUGCAAAACGUUAAAAGGCGCCACUCACUUGAUCCAUGAAGAAGACGAAGAUGUUAUGAAAUCCACAGUUUAACAUGUAAUUCUCUUUCGCGAUGUAGCAAGCAGCGUCACAAACUUCAAAUGCAGAGUAUACGAAUGCUAUAACGUUCACAAACAAAGAAUACCUGCAAAAGUUCGUGUUGUCAGCAUGGUCUACCCUAAGAUUUCAAAAACUUUAAACAACUUUAGUAAAGAUUUCAAAAUCCUUUUUAAAUAAUUGAGGAAUAUAUAUAUUAACUCUAAAAAUUUGGGGACUCAAAUCAAUCUAUCAGUUAGUCAUGUGGGUUCGGUUACUUUGAGUUUUUCGGAUUGGUUAAUUCGGUUCAACCGAAAUCUUCGUAAUUAAAUUGAAACAAAAAAUUUUGGUUCAGUUCGGUUUUUGGUUAGUUCGAUUUCAAAAUUUUGUACCAAAUUUUUUGAAUUCAGUUAAAUUUUGGUUUAAAUAGGUUUAAAAUUUUAAAAAAUGAUUAAAAUAGGUUAUUUCGGUUCAGAUUUUUGUUAGUUUUUGGGGUGGGCAAAAAAACCGGAUCCGAAUUAUGGAACCAAACAGACCCGAAAAAACCGAAACCGAACAAACCAAAUUUAUGAAUUACCCAAUCAUUGGAUACUGAAAUUUUAUAUCCGAAUAACCAGAAUCGAACCCGUACCGAACUGAUAACCGAAUAAUACCCAUAUAGAACCAGAUGAAAAACCAGAUGAAAAACCCUUAUACACUUACCUUAUACAUAUAUCUUUAUGGUUUAUAUUUUAUACACUUGCCAUUUUUUAUUGAUCAACACUUAUCUUAUAGGUGAAGCUUGUAUUGUUUGGAUGUUUUAUGCUCACAAUUUGAAUUUUGGUUUCUGAAUGAGGAAAUUGUUUGAAUGUUAUUCCAGUAUUGGAUUUAUUUAUUUGCAAGUACAUCAGAUUAAUUUUGGGUAAUAUGGUUACAAAGUAACCAUUUAGAACCGAACCCGAUUGGAACUUUUUUGGUUCUAAUAUGGUUACCAAACUUUAGGAACCGAAAGAACCGAGAACUGAAAGAACCGACCCGAACCAAACCGACGAACCAAACCGAAGAACCAAACGCCCACCCCUACUUUGGUUGGUUAUUAUGGGUUUCGAUUUUUUUAUAAAAAAAUUGAACGAACCAAUUGAAAACUGAUUUUUUAAUUGCCUAAUCGAAUUGAACAUCCUAACCGAUCUAAACCGAACUCUUUGGGUCGUUCUUGCCUAGUUUCACUCGGUUCCCAGGACAGGCUUUGGUUGUUAGUUUCAAUUUUUUCAACUCUAAACCCUAAAAAAAUGUAAAGAAGAAGAGAGUGACGUGACCUGUACUCUUUGUAGUGAUCAUAAGAGUCACCGCUCCACCCUUUAGUUUUAUCAGCCGCCAUGAUCGAAAACGAUACCACGCACAAAACUACUUCGCUCACUCUAAACCCUAGCGCCG
rnacentral:lncRNA from 1 species